AGGGUUCGAUCCUGGCUCAGAUUGAACGUUGGCGGCAUGCCUAACACAUGCAAGUCGAACGGAAACGAUGGGAGCUUGCUCCCAGGCGUCGAGUGGCGGACGGGUGAGUAAUACUUAGGAAUCUGCCCAGUAGUGGGGGACAACUCGAGGAAACUCGAGCUAAUACCGCAUACGCCCUACGGGGGAAAGCGGAGGAUCUUUCGGGACUUCGCGCUAUUGGAUGAGCCUAAGUCGGAUUAGCUUGUUGGUGGGGUAAAGGCCUACCAAGGCGACGAUCCGUAGCUGGUCUGAGAGGACGAUCAGCCACACUGGGACUGAGACACGGCCCAGACUCCUACGGGAGGCAGCAGUAGGGAGUAUUGGACAAUGGGCGCAAGCCUGAUCCAGCAAUGCCGCGUGUGUGAAGAAGGCCUGCGGGUUGUAAAGCACUUUCAAUUGGGAAGAAAGAUUUAGAGUUAAUACCUCUUAAUAUUGACGUUACCAAUAGAAGAAGCACCGGCUAACUCUGUGCCAGCAGCCGCGGUAAUACAGAGGGUGCGAGCGUUAAUCGGAAUUACUGGGCGUAAAGAGUACGUAGGUGUUAAAUCAGUCGGAUGUGAAAGCCCCAGGCUUAACUUGGGAAUUGCAUUCGAUACUGUUUGACUAGAGUACAGUAGAGAGAAGCGGAAUUCCUAGUGUAGCGGUGAAAUGCGUAGAUAUUAGGAAGAACACCAGUGGCGAAGGCGGCUUCUUGGAUUGAUACUGACACUGAGGUACGAAAGCGUGGGGAGCAAACAGGAUUAGAUACCCUGGUAGUCCACGCCGUAAACGAUGUCUACUAGCCGUUGGGAGGCUUGACCUCUUAGUGGCGAAGCUAACGCGAUAAGUAGACCGCCUGGGGAGUACGGUCGCAAGAUUAAAACUCAAAUGAAUUGACGGGGGCCCGCACAAGCGGUGGAGUAUGUGGUUUAAUUCGAUGUAACGCGAAAAACCUUACCAGGCCUUGACAUCCAGAGAAGUCGCUAGAGAUAGCUUCGUGCCUUCGACUCUGUGACAGGUGCUGCAUGGCUGUCGUCAGCUCGUGUUGUGAAAUGUUGGGUUAAGUGCCGCAACGAGCGCAACCCCUAUCCUUAUUUGCCAGCGCGUUAUGGCGGGAACUCUAAGGAGACUGCCGGUGACAAACCGGAGGAAGGUGGGGAUGACGUCAAGUCAUCAUGGCCCUUAUGAGUAGGGCUACACACGUGCUACAAUGGUCGGUACAAAGGGUUGCCAAGCCGCGAGGUGGAGCAAAUCCCAUAAAACCGAUCGUAGUCCGGAUUGGAGUCUGCAACUCGACUCCAUGAAGUCGGAAUCGCUAGUAAUCGUAGAUCAGAAUGCUACGGUGAAUACGUUCCCGGGCCUUGUACACACCGCCCGUCA
rnacentral:rRNA from 1 species